ensembl:miRNA mdo-mir-7353 mdo-mir-7353
AUGGUCUGAGUCUGAUUCCUGUGGGUGAAAUGUCCACAUCAGGCCUAAACCAUCA